rnacentral:rRNA from 1 species
CAGCCGCCGCGGUAAUACCGGCGGCCCGAGUGGCGGUCACUAUUAUUGGGCUUAAAGCGUCCGUAGCCGGGUUGGGAAGUCCUCCGGGAAAUCUGGCCGCUUAACGGUCAGAAUGCCGGAGGAUACUCCCAGCCUAGGGAGCGGGAGAGGCCGAGGGUAUUCCCGGAGUAGGGGUGAAAUCCUAUAAUCCCGGGAGGACCACCUGUGGCGAAGGCGCUCGGCUGGAACGCGUCCGACGGGGAGGGACGAAGGCCAGGGGAGCAAACCGGAUUAGAUACCCGGGUAGUCCUGGCUGUAAACGAUGCGGACUUUGUGUCGGACAAGCUAUGAGCUUGUCCGGUGCCGGAGGGAAACCGUUAAGUCCGCCGCCUGGGGAGUACGGCCGCAAGGCUGAAACUUAAAGGAAUUGGCGGG